GAUGAACGCUGGCGGCGUGCCUAAUACAUGCCAGUCGAGCGAACAGACGAGGAGCUUGCUCCUCUGACGUUAGCGGCGGACGGGUGAGUAACACGUGGAUAACCUACCUAUAAGACUGGGAUAACUUCGGGAAACCGGAGCUAAUACCGGAUAAUAUAUUGAACCGCAUGGUUAAUUAGUGAAAGACGGUUUUGCUGUCACUUAUAGAUGGAUCCGCGCCGAAUUAGCUAGUUGGUAGGGUAACGGCUUACCAAGGCAACGAUGCGUAGCUGAACUGAGAGGGUGAUCGGCCACACUAGAACUGAGACACGGUCCAGACUCCUACGGGAGGCAGCAGUAGGGAAUCGUCCGCAAUGGGCGAAAGCCUGACGGAGCAACGCCGCGUGAGUGAUGAAGGUCUUCGGAUCGUAAAACUCUGCUAUUAGGGAAGAACAAAUGUGUAAGUAACUAUGCACGUCUUGACGGUACCUAAUCAGAAAGCCACGGCUAACUACGUG
rnacentral:rRNA from 1 species